rnacentral:rRNA from 1 species
AGUGAACGCUGGCGGUAGGCCUAACACAUGCAAGUCGAACGGCAGCACAGUAAGAGCUUGCUCUUACGGGUGGCGAGUGGCGGACGGGUGAGGAAUACAUCGGAAUCUACUUUUUCGUGGGGGAUAACGUAGGGAAACUUACGCUAAUACCGCAUACGACCUACGGGUGAAAGCAGGGGAUCUUCGGACCUUGCGCGAUUGAAUGAGCCGAUGUCGGAUUAGCUAGUUGGCGGGGUAAAGGCCCACCAAGGCGACGAUCCGUAGCUGGUCUGAGAGGAUGAUCAGCCACACUGGAACUGAGAUACGGUCCAGACUCCUACGGGAGGCAGCAGUGGGGAAUAUUGGACAAUGGGCGCAAGCCUAAUCCAGCCAUACCGCGUGGGUGAAGAAGGCCUUCGGGUUGUAAAGCCCUUUUGUUGGGAAAGAAAAGCAGCAGGUUAAUACCCCGCUGUUCUGACGGUACCCAAAGAAUAAGCACCGGCUAACUUCGUG